CAUGGACGGACAUCCUUGGUGGCCUGAUCGCUUUUGGAAUAACUCUUGCUGCUGCCCUUUGGGAGAAACUUGGCAGUUUUCGAUUCUCAGGCUCCAGGAGCGGGCGAGGAGUGGGAGAGGCAGGGCGAAGACGAGAGUAAGAGAGAGAGGUUGCGAGCAGGGGAGGGGCAGAGGGAGAAGGAGUGAGAGAAAAACCGAAGCAGGCUCCAUGCCCAGCACGGGUCGGACUGGGGCUCCAUCUCACCACCCUGAGAUCAUGACCUGACCCCAUCGAAGCCUCACCCAACUAAGCCGCCCAGGUGCACCUCUAAUAAGGAAUUUUUAAAAAUCA